GACAAUUCUAAGCAACAUGGCGAUGAUCUCUGAAGGCACUGCUCUUCUCUCUGUGGGAUUUCACGAGAUAGUUAAAAACAUUGGGAUGGUCAGGAUGUGCCAGUGAUUCGUCCUGACGCUGUUAGCACCGCCUGCACGAUAUUUCCCUAAAGAGGUACUUACAUACUGAGGCCAGAUAGGGAGAACAGCAGCAUUCACGUAAUCUCGAAUAUUCUGAGCAGUCUCCAGCAUGAACAUUACAGGCUUCCGGUCCAACUCGACAUAUAUGUUCGACGAAAGGAAAUAC